GACGAACGCUGGCGGCGUGCUUAACACAUGCAAGUCGAGCGGUAAGGCCCCUUCGGGGGUACACGAGCGGCGAACGGGUGAGUAACACGUGAGCAAUCUGCCCAUCACAUCGGGAUAACUCCGGGAAACCGAAGCUAAUACCGAAUACGACCACUUCAGGCAUCUGACGGUGGUGGAAAGUUCCGGCGGUGAUGGAUGAGCUCGCGGCCUAUCAGCUAGUUGGUGGGGUAAUGGCCUACCAAGGCUUCGACGGGUAGCCGGCCUGAGAGGGUGACCGGCCACACUGGGACUGAGACACGGCCCAGACUCCUACGGGAGGCAGCAGUGGGGAAUAUUGGACAAUGGGCGAAAGCCUGAUCCAGCAACGCCGCGUGAGGGAUGACGGCCUUCGGGUUGUAAACCUCUUUCAGCAGGGACGAAGCGCAAGUGACGGUACCUGCAGAAGAAGCACCGGCCAACUACGUGCCAGCAGCCGCAGUAAUAC
rnacentral:rRNA from 1 species